rnacentral:lncRNA from 1 species
AAUAUUUUUUUAAAAUACAUUUGAAAACCCUAGUCUAGACAUAACAUUCUGUCGCCCACUCACUCUCAUCUCUCCCUAUUUCACUCUUUGCGGCGCCACCCCAAGGCUGUGCCCUUGUUCUUCCGUCUCCGGCGCUGCCGCGGCAACGGUGCUAGCAGCAGCCCUCGUCCCAGUCGUGCGCUGCUCAUCCCUUGCUACAGCUCCCCUGCUCCUCCGCUGCUAUAGCUGCGUCCAGCAAGGCAGCGGCACAGCCCAGGCCUGGUUCCUCCUCGAUCGUCGCCGGCGUCCAGCAAAGCAAUACGUUCAAGGUGGCUCAGAGUAGUAUCUUGAAAUCCAAAUAAGAAUUUUUUAUUCUUGUAUAGUCCACGCCUUCCCUUACUGAUAUAGAAAUAAUA